AUUAAUGAGGACCAGCCCUAACGGGUGGUUGGAUUUUAUCCCAACAGCAGUCAGAAGCUCCUAAUGGGUUCCUCUUAGCUGCACAAUGGGUCAGGAAAGGAAAGAAAUCAAUGGUGUUGUCAGUGGAAGAAAAGCAGGCUGUCCUUCCUGGUUCCUGACGAAGAGCAAGGGAAAACAGGAAGUUAGCCUGCAGAGUUGCAUUGGCAGGAAGUCCUGGUCUGACAAGUCAUUCCGCCUUUGCUCUGGGCCACGGUCUUACUACCUUGAAACCGAUGCUUCUCCAUAGCCUGAUCAGCAGAUCGGAAGAGUAAGAGAGGCAGAUCCUUCCUCUUCUACCACCAGAGCUCCGUCAGUGGAAAAUGUGUUCCAGGCCUCCGGGUUUGUCCCUUAGCAACAGUGCCCAUGUACUUGCCUCCCGGGAACCAGCAUAACAGCCCCCUUGAACACCUGCCCUCCACUGGAAGACUAAGAGAAUCAUUUCUUUAAGCUGGAGGAGAUCUUGGAGAUCAUCUGACGGAAGAACCGGGAGAGCCGCAGUGACUUCCAUGACAUCAGAGAGCUAUUAUAGCUGCAAAGCCAGCAUAAGAACCUUACUCUCCCAUCUCUUGAUGCCACCUCCAUGGCUUCUCUGUGUCUAGCCCAGGGGCAGCAGGUACAAUUGGCUUCCCAAAGAAGGUUUUCAAAAAUUUCACGUAUUAGCAUUUGAACUCCAGGCCACUCUAAAAGGUAAUGUUUAAACCCACCUGGUGCCUUUAUUUCCCAGGUGGAAAUAAUUUGAAUGCUUCCUUGUCUUGACUCAUCUUUAUCCAUGCAUGUACAUGAUUUUUACCUCGUGUAAUCGGUACACACGCUUCUCAAGCUGCUUGAGUUUCAUUUGAAUGAUCACGUGUAAACAUUUUUCCAGUUUUCUGGGGCAGUGCUGCGAUAAUGAAAACGUUCAAUACCUGCAUUUUGACGGUAGCCACUAGCCACAUGUGGCUCUUGAGCACUUGAACAACUGAGGAACUGAAUUUAUCUUGUUUAGUUUUAAGUAAUUCAAAUGCAAAUUUAAAUAGCCACUUGUGGCUAGUGACUCCAGUAUUGGCUAGCAUAAUUCUAAAGAGUCAUCAUACACGUUUCUUACAAUGGAUGCAUAUUAUUGUAUCGAUAUCUUGGUUUAUUUUACCGUUUCUCUGUCCUCGAACCUUCAAAAGGCUUUUUGUUUCUGCUAUUGCAGCAAAUAUAGCAUUAUGUACAGUUACACAUA